GGAGGAGGAGCACAUGGAGGGGGACGAGGAGGAGGACAAGGUGGAGGCUGAGGAGGGGGCGUCAGGAGGUGAGCGGGUGGUGUGGUUGCGUGGACCGUUGCAACUCCCGUGACGUCCGAUACCUCUAGCGAGAUGCCCGAUGAUUCGGCCACUAGAGCCUAAGGGUGGUUUUUUGUGCAGCCUGGUGAGCACAAACGGAAGCCCAAUGGUAUCUUGGGUCUUUUGUGCCAGCUGCACUUCUCCGGGCUCGUGAUGCAUGCUGGGGGACCUGGAGCCGGCAUACAUGUGGGAUCACUACAUGGCCAGCCCAGACGCUACUGAUCGCGAAGGAAGGAACUUCACCACCAAAGCGAGGCGGGUGGUCGGGGAGUUGUGGGAUUUCUACAGGUGUGAGGAAGGCUAUGAGGCCCGGGCGAACGAGCAGGCUCACGAGGCUUGCUACAAGCUGGUGAAGGACAUGCACUACGAGGCGCGUGUCCAAGCCGUCGUUGUAUACUGCGCCGAAUUCGAGAAGAGGAUCGUCAAGAAACCAGCCGCAAGGAACAUCUACCUCACGCG